CUGCCAUUAAGGAAGGAUCUUUCUCCAGAGGUCACUCCUCUUUUUUUGGCAAGCCCGGGACAUGGAGUCCAUCAGACAGAAAAGAUUGUAAAAUGGGAGCUGCGUUUAUUUGAUUCUUCAGCCAAUUUCCUCCUGCCAUUUUUACCCAACUGGUCAUCUGUUCUCAAGAGUGAAUUUCUUCUUCCUCGACAAUAACAAAUCUGAUGAAACAUAAGGCAGUUCCCAGAAGUGUCCAGUUGGCCCACAUCUUUCAUACAACGUGCUUUGAUCAACGCUGAGAGAAAAGGAUUGUGCUGAAUAUUUUGCAGGCUGUGUUUAUACCUCCUAAUGUACUUUUUUAUAACAGCUAACAUUGUUGACUCAUAUUCAGUUUAUUAUCCUUUUAAACCUCUAGAUCUUGCAAAACUACUACCUAGCCAGUUAUUAGUCAUUUUGAAUUUGUA
ensembl:lncRNA